AUAUUUACCUGGGAGUGAAGAUACCAAGAUCGAAAAAUGAUUUUCCCAGGGCAAGGCUCACCCAUUGCACUCUGGGUAUACUGACUCCUGCAAUUUUCCCAAAUAUGGGAAACUCAAAUCCUUAAUUUGUGGUAGUGGAGGACUGCGUUUGAAUCCCCUCUG